GUGUUUGCAGAUGCGGCAUUAUCAAGAUUCACAAACUUAGUACAGGGUUUCAUUGGAGAGCCAAAGGGUGUGGUUUAGUGGUACCCCUCCACAAAAUCACCUCCUUUUACUUCAAAGUUUUCCUUUCAAAUAUGGGAAUCUUGAUGAUGCUGCAUCAGCAAACAU
rfam:Gossypium raimondii Chr03_contig_848, whole genome shotgun sequence.